GACGAACGCUGGCGGCGUGCUUAACACAUGCAAGUCGUACGAUGAACCCUGGAUCCUCGGAUCCGGGGGGAUUAGUGGCGAACGGGUGAGUAACACGUGAGUAACCUGCCCUGUACUUUCCGGAUAACUGCUGGAAACGGUAGCUAAUACGGGAUAUUCACCAUCCCGCGCAUGUGGGAUGGUGGAAAGUGGUGACGCGGUACAGGAUGGGCUCGCGGCCUAUCAGCUUGUUGGUGGGGUGAUGGCCUACCAAGGCGGUGACGGGUAGCCGGCCUGAGAGGGCGACCGGCCACAUUGGGACUGAGAUACGGCCCAGACUCCUACGGGAGGCAGCAGUGGGGAAUAUUGCACAAUGGGCGCAAGCCUGAUGCAGCGACGCCGCGUGAGGGAUGACGGCCUUCGGGUUGUAAACCUCUUUCAGUUGGGAAGAAGCUCCCGGUCGUCAGGCCGGGGGUGACGGUACUUUCAGAAGAAGCGCCGGCUAACUACGUGCCAGCAGCCGCGGUAAAAC
rnacentral:rRNA from 1 species